ACAAGGCAUACGGCUCAUAACGCGUAGUCCCUUAACCUAUGGACGGGAAUAACCUCGGGAAACUGAGAAUAAUGCCCGAUAGAACAUUAUGCCUGGAAUGGUUUAUGUUCCAAAUGAUUUAUCGCCGUAGGAUGGGACUGCGGCCUAUCAGUUUGUUGGUGAGGUAAUGGCCCACCAAGACUAUUACAGGUACGGGCUCUGAGAGGAGUAGCCCGGAGAUGGGUACUGAGACACGGACCCAGGCCCUAUGGGGCGCAGCAGGCGAGAAAACUUUGCAAUGUGCGAAAGCACGACAAGGUUAAUCCGAGUGGUUUCUGCUAAAGAAACCUUUUGUCAGUCCUAGAAACACUGAUGAAUAAGGGGUGGGCAAGUUCUGGUGUCAGCCGCCGCGGUAAAACCAGCACCUCAAGUGGUCAGGAUGAUUAUUGGGCCUAAAGCAUCCGUAGCCGGCUCUGUAUGUUUUCGGUUAAAUCUGUACGCUCCACGUACAGGCUGCCGGGG
rnacentral:rRNA from 1 species